UACGUAGGGUGCGAGCGUUGUCCGGAAUUAUUGGGGCGUAAAGAGCUCGUAGGCGGUUUGUCGCGUCGACUGUGAAAACCUACAGCUUAACUGUGGGCUUGCAGUCGAUACGGGCAGACUUGAGUUCGGUAGGGGGAGACUGGAAUUCCUGGUGUAGCGGUGAAAUGCGCAGAUAAUCAGGAGGAACACCGGUGGCGAAAGGGCGGGGUCUCUGGGGCCCGAUACUGACGCUGGAGGAGCGAAAAGCGUGGGGGAGCGAACAGG
rnacentral:rRNA from 1 species